ACAUGCAAGUCGAACGGGUGACUCAGGGCUUGCUCUGAGUCGCUAGUGGCGGACGGCUGAGUAACGCGUAGGUGACCUACCCCGAAGUGGGGAAUAACUGCCCGAAAGGGUGGCUAAUACCGCAUACGAUCGGUCAUUCAUUUGAUUGAUCAAAGCAGCAAUGCGCUUUGGGAGGGGCCUGCGUCCGAUUAGCUCGUUGGUGGGGUAAUGGCUCACCAAGGCGACGAUCGGUAGGUGGUCUGAGAGGACGAUCACCCAGACUGGGACUGAGACACGGCCCAGACUCCUACGGGAGGCAGCAGUCGGGAAUUUUGCUCAAUGGACGAAAGUCUGAAGCAGCAACGCCGCGUGAGGGAUGAAGGCCUUCGGGUUGUAAACCUCUUUUCUCAGGGACGAUAAUGACGGUACCUGAGGAAUAAGCCACGGCUAACUACGUGCCAGCAGCCGCGGUAAUACGUAGGUGGCAAGCGUUGUCCGGAUUUACUGGGCGUAAAGAGCGCGCAGGCGGUUGAUCAAGUCGAAUGUGAAAGCCCCCGGCUCAACUGGGGAGGGUCAUUCGAUACUGCUCGACUUGAAGGCAGGAGAGGGUAGUGGAAUUCCCGGUGUAGUGGUGAAAUGCGUAGAUAUCGGGAGGAACACCAGUGGCGAAGGCGACUACCUGGCCUGUUCUUGACGCUGAGGCGCGAAAGCUGGGGGAGCAAACGGGAUUAGAUACCCCGGUAGUCCCAGCCGUAAACGAUGGACACUAGGUGUUGGUGGUAUCAACCCCGCCAGUGCCGUAGCUAACGCAUUAAGUGUCCCGCCUGGGGAGUACGGCCGCAAGGCUAAACUUCAAU
rnacentral:rRNA from 1 species